GCAACUCGCCUGCAUGAAGUCGGAAUUGCUAGUAAUCGUAGGUCAGCAUACUACGGUGAAUACGUUCCCGGGCCUUGUACACACCGCCCGUCAAACCAUGAGAGUUGGCAACACCCGAAGUCGGUAGUCUAACCGCAAGGAGGACGCCGCCGAAGGUGGGGUUGAUGAUUAGGGUUAAGUCGUAACAAGGUAUC
rnacentral:rRNA from 1 species